UUUAUUAAGUUAAAGCACGUGAUAAAAAAUAACACAUAAAAAACUAUCACAGUCAAGUAAAUGUAAUUUCUAUGCAGUUGUGAUAUUAAAUGUAUAUAAAAAUAUAAAUCAUAUAUUUAUGAUGUACCAUUUAUAUUAUGAAAGAAGGCACACAAUUCACAGACACAAGCAAAAGUUAUUAUCAAAAGCAAAAACCUAAACAAUUCUAAAAUAAAACGACAUUUAACAAAACAAAAACAAAACUUGAUCACCAAAAGUAAAGUUACUUGUUCUUGUGUAUAGCUCUUUGAUUUUGUUUCCAAAAUACCGCAUAUGGAAAGACAUAGCGCUUGAAAUUAUUUACAUCGACACAUAGAAUGUAAAAAAUAUAAUUGUUAUUCACAUUAAAAGAAUGCGUUGUGUAAUAGCAUAACUGUUAACAAUAGUUAUUUUCCUUAUAAUAUAUCAUUUCAGUAUAUAUCUUGAUAACGUAAUUAUCUAAAAUUCACGUUUCUAUAUUACACUCAUGAAAUUCGAUGUUCCAAAAAUCAAUGAGUCGAUUGAAUACAAGACAGAGACUGUCCUACUAUAUAAAAUUAUCACACUUUGAUAAUUUUUUCUUUGGUACAGGAAUAAGAAUUCAAAUAUCAUAUUUUACUACAUAUUCUGGUAAAACAAAACUUACUAUUAUACAGACACAUUUAAUGUUUGCAAAAUAAUUGUAAAUACUAGAUAAGAAAUAUUAAUUAGUAGGAAUGCUUUCUCUUGUUUUUAAUGUGAACAAAAAAUAGACCGAGGAUUAAUUGUUUAAAAUUCGUUUGCAAUAAUAAAGUUUUGUGUUUAUAACU
rnacentral:lncRNA from 1 species